UACGUAGGGUGCAAGCGUUAAUCGGAAUUACUGGGCGUAAAGCGUGCGCAGGCGGUUUUGUAAGUCUGUCGUGAAAUCCCCGGGCUCAACCUGGGAAUUGCGAUGGAGACUGCAAGGCUAGAAUCUGGCAGAGGGGGGUAGAAUUCCACGUGUAGCAGUGAAAUGCGUAGAUAUGUGGAGGAACACCGAUGGCGAAGGCAGCCCCCUGGGUCAAGAUUGACGCUCAUGCACGAAAGCGUGGGGAGCAAACAGG
rnacentral:rRNA from 1 species